AGAUGCUUGAAGAACUCAUUUCUGAAAAUGAUACUAUCUUGAAGAAGAGUUUACCAGCUUUGCCAUAUUCAAUGCAACAAUUAGUAUUUAUAUCAAUGGCUCAGCUCUUAUGCGAAUCAAGAAGCCGUCAAUUAGAGGAAGAGAAAUAUCGAAAUGAUAAUCAUGCUCCUACAUACAUAAGGUUAAAUGGAAUGGUGAGAAACUCAAAAACAUUUGGAAACAUAUUUAACUGUAAGCCUGGAAGCAAUAUGAAUCCUAUUGAAAAGUGUAUUUUUCUUGAAUGAAAUAAUAAUAAUAAAUAAAAGCAAUAUAUAAAUCUACAUAUUUUUAACGUUUUGUAUUUAUAGUUCUUGUUAACUUCAGUUAAAAAAAAAUAAAACGCAUCAUGGUUUGUCUGUGAA